CACGUAGGGCGCAAGCGUUGUCCGGAAUUAUUGGGAGUAAAGAGCUUGUAGGCGGUUUGUCGCGUCUGCUGUGAAAUUUCGGGGCUCAACCCCGAACUUGCAGUGGGUACGGGCAGACUAGAGUGUGGUAGGGGAGACUGGAAUUCCUGGUGUAGCGGUGAAAUGCGCAGAUAUCAGGAGGAACACCGAUGGCGAAGGCCGGUCUCUGGGCCACUACUGACGCUGAGAAGCGAAAGCAUGGGGAGCGAACAGG
rnacentral:rRNA from 1 species